rnacentral:tRNA from 1 species
GGAGGGUUGGCCGAGUGGUUUAUGGCGCUCGCUUCGAAAGCGUGUGGGAGCAAUCCCGCAGAGGUUCAAAUCCUCUACCCUCCG